rnacentral:tRNA from 1 species
GAUAGGGUGGCCGAGCGGUCUAAGGACGCCAUUUAGAGCUUUGUGCCUUGUCCUUGCUGUUUGUCACCUAGUGUAGUCUGGGUAGCGUGUGGCAGCUUGACAAUCGCUAGGCCUCCCCCUGUUCUCCCUUUGUGCCCAUGAGGGCUGCUUGCUCGGUGUGAGCGUUUUUGCCCCAAACAGUGUGACGGUGGCCCUGCCACUGGUGCUGUAAGGCCYCUCUCUCUCUAAGGCGCUAGUUUCAGGUACUAGUUCGAAAGAGCGCGGGUUCAAAUCCCGUCCCUGUCA